AGAGUGGGCCGGGCGGUCGCGGCGCCAAGGCGUCGAGGAAAGUCCGGACUCCAUUGGGCGAGGCGCCGGGUAACACCCGGUCGGGGCGACCCGAAGGACAGCGCAUAGAGACGACACCGCCUCCCGCGGGGGGUCAGGGUGGAAGGGCGCGGUAAGAGCGCACCGGUCGGCUGGCGACAGCCGGCGUCUCAGCAAACCCCGCCUGGAGCAAGGCCACAUAGGGGGGCGAUGCGGUGGCCCGCCGUGCCCCCGGGUAGGCCGCUCGAGCCGUCGGGCAACCGCCGGUCUAGAUAGAUGACCGCCACCUCUUCGGAGGCACAGAAUCCGGCUUAUAGGCUCACUCUCUCA
rnacentral:RNase_P_RNA from 1 species